rnacentral:rRNA from 1 species
UACGUAGGGGGCUAGCGUUGUCCGGAAUCAUUGGGCGUAAAGCGCGCGUAGGCGGCCCGGUAAGUCCGCUGUAAAAGUCAAAGGCUCAACCUUUGAAUGUCAGUGGAUACUGCCGGGCUAGAGUCCGGAAGAGGCGAGUGGAAUUCCUGGUGUAGCGGUGGAAUGCGCAGAUAUCGGGAAGAACACCCGUGGCGAAGGCAGGUCUCUGGGCUGACACUGACGCUCAUGCACGAAAGCGUGGGGAGCAAACAGG